UGUCCUCAAGUGAGGAUUAAAAAGGGUAGAAUAUUGUCAGUGCUGUAGACAUUCACCCUCCCUUCUUUCUCAGUCACCUUACUCUUUCUUCAGGGGAACUACUUCCCUAAUGUUUGUGGUAAUCACCUCCUAGUUUUAUCUGAUAGUUGUAAUAUCGGUGUGUCCAUUCUUAAACAAUUUCAUUUAAAAAAUACCUGUUUUUGAAAGUUUAUUGUAAACAGAACCGUUCUUUAUAAAUUUAUGUGUAUAUAUCUUCUUAGUUCAGCAGUGUUAAUAAGACCAUGUUGUGUGCAGGUUGAGUUUGUUCAUUUUCAUUAUUAUAUGGUAUUUCAUUGUACAAAAUAAACCACUGUUUGUUUAUUCAUUCUACUGCUGGUAGUCAUUUGGAUUAUUUCCAGUUUUUGAUUUUUUGUGGACAUUGCCAAGAACAUUCUUGUACAUGUCUACAAGUGUGUAUACUUUUUUUUGCAUACAUGCCUGGGAAUGGGAUUACUGGAUCAUGGAUUAUGUAUAUCUUCAAUUUUUUAGGUAAUUGUAUACUCUGACCAGCAGGUUUUUCCUGGAAGUUAAGAAAAUUCAAUUCUGAAAUUCUUAAGACAAACAGUGAAGAAUAGAUAAGACACUCUUGAAGAAUAAUAACAAAAUGAUCAACUUUCCUUGUGUAUCAGAGAAGGCUAAGUUAUUUUGUGGUAACAAACUAAAAUCACAAUGUUAAACAUGCGAAAAUAUUUCUCAUCACCUUACUUGUCCACUGCAGAUUAGUAGGAAAACACUACAGCUUAUAGUCCCUCAGGAACUCAGGUGCCAAAAUUACACCAAGGUGAAUAUUAUUGUACUAGUUGCUAAACCAAGGGGAAAAAGAGCUCUGGAGGGUUUUGCACAGGCGGUUUUGCUCAGCACAUUACUUUUCUGCUCACCACUUGUUGACCAGAGCUAAUCAUGUGGCUCUGAUGAAUCACAAGGGAGCCAGAAAGUAUGAUUUUCUUAUCAUCCUUGAGAGAAGAAGGAACCAGAAGUACUUGGCAAGCAGUACUAAUGACUACCAUACUUUACCAGAUAUGAAAACUUAUAAAGCUGUAGUCAUUAAGAAAAUGUGGUAUCAACACAGUGUGACUAAUAGGCCAAUGGAACAAAAUCCAUUGUUUUAGGAACCGACAUAAUGGAAACUUGCUCUCAGCUCCAUGAUUCCAAAAAGAAAGUGGAGUUUUCAAUGAAUGGAGAUUAGAUAAUUGGUUAUCCAUACAGGAAAAAAAAGGAAAUUAGAUCCCUAUCUCAUAUCAUACCAAAAUUAAGAAUUUCAGAUGAAUUAAGGAUUAAAAUGUGAAAGAAAGUUUAAGUUUUAGAAGAAAAUAUGAGAUGACCCCAGGGAUAGAAAGGAUUUAUUAAAUAAGUGUUAGACUUAUUUAAUAAAUAAGACUGAAGACUGAAAAUCUACCUCUGUACACAGAAGGCAGGGAAAGACCAAAGAAAUAGUUUGGCCACUCCAUUGUGGUAAUUAAUAGAGUUUAUUAAGGAAAACAUACAUAUGAGGCAUGUCUUGGGCGGUAGCAAGACGAAGUGUAUCCCCGUGCCAUUAGGCAGGCACCAAAGAAUUACAUGGGGUAAGGAAGGGGAUAAUCAUGUGUGCUAGUAUAUGAAUGCUACCAGGUAUGGGAAAUUACAUGCUUGACCAAGUCAGAACAACAACCUGUUCCAGGAACCAGUGCAUAGCAGGAGGCAAGGGAGGAGUGCUGAUUUAUGUCAAAGUGAACAUCAAUUACAAGCAGUCUUUAAGCGGGCUUUUCAGAAAGCAACCUCCUUUCUGGCUUGGGUCCAGCUUCUGGGACAGACAGUAGUCUUGUCAUAGAACAGUCUCUUCUCCAUAGUAAGACAUGAAAAAUACAAAGUCAGAAAUAUUGAUACAUUGUUCUAUAACAAAACAUUCAAGAACUUCUGUUCAUCAGAUGACUCCAUAAAGAGAGUAAAGACACAAGGCUACAAGGUGGCAGAAAAUAUCCGCAAUAUAUAUAACCAACAAAAAAUUAGAAUCCAGCAUAGUACUUCAGAGAAGAAAUCCUGUAAAGAAUAAGUAAAAGAUAAAUGUGUCAACAGGAAAAUGGGCAAAUGACAUAAACAGGCCUUUCUCUGAAUAGGAAAUCAAAUGACCUUUAAGCAUAUGAAAGAUGCUUAUCCUCUUUAUGGAAAAAUACAAUAAAAAUUAAAUUAAAAAAUAAUUGUAAAUUAAACCAUAUCCUUCAGAUUAGUAGAAAUUUAAAAAUCAGAUAAAAUUGUUAAUUAAAAGGUGGAAGAAUGAGAAUUUACAUACAUUGUUGGUUGGAAUGCAAACUGAUACCACUACUUAGUAAAACAGUUUGUCAUUACAUUUGUCCAGUAAAAUUGAACUAGCAUAUACUGUACCACUCAGUUUUUCUACUCCUACAUAUAUCCUGUGAAAACUUCCUUGUACAUACA